rnacentral:rRNA from 1 species
GAUGAACGCUGGCGGCGUGCCUAAUACAUGCGAGUCGAGCGAACGGACGAGAAGCUUGCUUCUCUGAUGUUAGCGGCGGACGGGUGAGUAACACGUGGAUAACCUACCUAUAAGACUGGGAUAACUUCGGGAAACCGUAGCUAAUACCGGAUAAUAUUUUGAACCGCAUGGUUCAAAAGUGAAAGACGGUCUUGCUGUCACUUAUAGAUGGAUCCGCGCUGCAUUAGCUAGUUGGUAAGGUAACGGCUUACCAAGGCAACGAUGCAUAGCCGACCUGAGAGGGUGAUCGGCCACACUGGAACUGAGACACGGUCCAGACUCCUACGGGAGGCAGCAGUAGGGAAUCUUCCGCAAUGGGCGAAAGCCUGACGGAGCAAUGCCGCGUGAGUGAUGAAGGUCUUCGGAUCGUAAAACUCUGUUAUUAGGGAAGAACAUAUGUGUAAGUAACUGUGCACAUCUUGACGGUACCUAAUCAGAAAGCCACGGCUAACUACGUG